rnacentral:rRNA from 1 species
UACGAAGGGUGCAAACGUUGCUCGGAAUUACUGGGCGUAAAGCGCGCGUAGGCGGGUCGUUAAGUCGGGGGUGAAAUCCUGGAGCUCAACUCCAGAACUGCCUUCGAUACUGGCGAUCUUGAGUCCGGGAGAGGUGAGUGGAACUCCGAGUGUAGAGGUGAAAUUCGUAGAUAUUCGGAAGAACACCAGUGGCGAAGGCGGCUCACUGGCCCGGUACUGACGCUGAGGUGCGAAAGCGUGGGGAGCAAACAGG